rnacentral:rRNA from 1 species
GACGAACGCUGGCGGCGUGCUUAACACAUGCAAGUCGAACGGAAAGGCCCUGCUUUUGUGGGGUGCUCGAGUGGCGAACGGGUGAGUAACACGUGAGUAACCUGCCCUUGACUGUGGGAUAACUUCAGGAAACUGGGGCUAAUACCGGAUAGGAGCUCCUGCUGCAUGGGGGGGGUUGGAAAGUUUCGGCGGUUGGGGAUGGACUCGCGGCUUAUCAGCUUGUUGGUGGGGUAGUGGCUUACCAGGGCUUUGACGGGUAGCCGGCCUGGGAGGGUGACCGGCCACAUUGGGCCUGCGAUACGGCGCAGACUCCUACGGGAGGCAGCAGUGGGGAAUAUUGCACAAUGGGCGGAAGCCUGAUGCAGCAACGCCGCGUGCGGGAUGCCGGCCUUCGGGUUGUAAACCGCUUUCGCCUGUGCCGAAGCGUGAGUGACGGUAAUGGGUAAAGAAGCACCGGCUAACUACGUG